rnacentral:rRNA from 1 species
GCGGAGGAAAAGAAACUAACAAGGAUUCCCCUAGUAACGGCGAGUGAAGAGGGAAGAGCUCAAAUUUUGAAUCUGGCGUCUUUGGCGUCCGAGUUGUAAUCUAAAGAAGUGUUUUCCGUGAUGGACCGUGCACAAGUCUCCUGGAACGGAGCGUCAUAGAGGGUGAGAAUCCCGUAUAUGGCACGAUUACCAUUGCUCUGUGAUACACUCUCGACGAGUCGAGUUGUUUGGGAAUGCAGCUCAAAAUGGGUGGUAAAUUCCAUCUAAAGCUAAAUAUUGGCGAGAGACCGAUAGCGAACAAGUACCGUGAGGGAAAGAUGAAAAGCACUUUGGAAAGAGAGUGAAACAGUACGUGAAAUUGUUGAAAGGGAAACGCUUGAAGUCAGUCGCGCUCGUUUGGAUUCAGCCUGGCUUUUGCCUGGUUUACUUCCUUGCGGGCGGGUCAACGUCAGUUUUGACCGGAGGAAAAAGCUUUGAGGAAUGUGGCAGUUUACUGUGUUAUAGCCUCUUGGUGUAUACUUCGGUUGGGAUUGAGGACCGCAGCGCGCCUUACGGCCGGGGUUCGCCCACGUACGCGCUUAGGAUGUUGGCAUAAUGGCUUUAAGCGACCCGUCU